GAAGCACCAAGAAGUUGAAAAUCCAACAAUUCUUUUUGUGUUUCUGACCUUGAUAAAUGGUCUAAUUUCAGCCAUUCUUUCAGGUAAAAUGUGCUGUAGACCUUUUUUCAACUGUUUUGAAAGAAAGUGAGCCUGUUGUAGCACUCACUGUGCAAUAGUCACUCUGUAAUAGUUCAUGUUGGCCAUCAAGAUUCCUGCCAGUCACAAUCAGUCACAAUCAGUCACUUCCAUAUUACUGGACCUCCUCACUGUCAGUCACAACACCUGAACCAAUCACCAGCAGUCUCUGUCCCACCUGGAAUCCACCCAUUCCUUUGUUUGAAGCACAUCAGCUUCAUUCAGUCACACACAGCAGUAACUUGAACAACAGGAUCACCCCACAUGCACAUUUCCAUUACAAGUUCUACACGGUGACUAUUUUGUCCUUCUAUUUUUGCUCUUUAGCUUUACAAUUUCACCAUCUUUAUGCUCAUUGUUUUGGUUUUUGCCCCACAACUUUACAGUUUUAAAUUCAGCGUCGCCACUGAGCUCUGAUAAACCAAACGUGGAGCAAACUGGCAAAGUUGAGAGCUCGCUGUUAACUGAGUGGCACAUUGUUCAGCUGGAGCGCCAGAUAUUUCUCUCAGGAGUUUGCGGAGAUGGAAAAAAAAACCAGAGAGUCAAUAUUGGAGUUACAUUUGUCAAGUCAGACGGAACGUAAAUCCAAAUGAAUAAUAAUGUCGCUUUGUGUUUGCUCAGUGGUGAUCAUUAGCCACAUUCAUUAUUAUGAGGUGGUGUCGGUGUAGUGUUUGCAGCGUAUUGUGCUACUCCAAGUGACCAAAACAAAUCAAUCGGCACACAUUUAAAGAGUGAAAAUAAAGCAUCUAGUGUUGCAUUAUCAGCUAUCAGAUCAGAGUUAAAGAUAUUUGGCACAAAACAUGUAAAACGCUCCAGUUUUUCCAGAGCAAAUGAAAAGCUUUCAAAGAACCAUCGAGUUAUACAGCUUGAAUCAAGGCUUCAUGAGGGUCUUGUCCUUACAAAUAAUGACUGAUGGAAUAUAAUUGCACUUGGCGUUUUUUAUGAAUGGAAGCUCUGUGGACUCAGUGAUUGCCAGCUCAUUUUGGGGUCAAGCUGCUUGUUAAGUAAAUGCAUUUGAUAUUUUCUUUGUGGCCACAGCUCUGUUACAUCCAUCAGUCAUCCGAGGUUCCAUGUUGCAGCUACGUUUCCUUCAUUACAACUUAUUUAGAAGACAUUACAAGUCAGAGCACAGAGCCCAAUACUGCAGUGAUGUGGCGAGCCAAGAUUCUACUCCUAAAUAAAACGGUAAUAAUUUGAGGAGCGCUCGAACAUAAAGUCGGAAUCUGUCUGAAGGCCGCAUUAGAUGUGGUAAUUAUUGCCAAUUCCUCACCCCGCGGAGCUGCAGAAAGACAGACGCCGCUGCCAAGUCGGAGGCAUUGUUGUGGUGACAUUUGAGUGGAGGAUCAAACCGCUGAUGAAUAAUCCAUAUUGAAAAGCUGCUCUUUCUGCCAAAUGUCAAACAGCAGCAGGAGCCAUUGUUCAAGGAGCGGACUCGAAAACUUUCUCAUUCGCCACCAUCAUAAUGCCGAGGCAGUGCAGGGUGGCGCAGUAAGCAAACAGUUGUUUAAAAUCUGAUGAGUCUUGUAAUCCACUGCCUUGAUAAUGGACUCCUCGCUGACUGUUUUCAUUUUCUAAAACUAAUGCUGUUGGCUUUCCCGUCGUAAUUUGAGUAAAAGUACAUUUGAUGCUACAGUCCACUUCCAGGCAGCUGCAGCAACAAGAACAAUUUGCUUUCCUGCAGCUUCUUCCUCAUCAUCGCAGCAGUAUCCAGGCUAUAAAUUGCUCCUCUAUUCUAGAUAAUCAAAGGAAUCUGUUAUGGAUGGGCUCCCUCUAUGAGAUCUCACUGUAUCUCACAAAUCCUUCGCUCUCAUCGUCAGCCAGGCUUUUUCCACGUUCAUCCUCGGCCGCUCGGCGUGCAGCGAGCGAGAGCCAAUAUCAACUUCCUGCUUCACUGCGACAGCUGAGAGGAUCACUUUCUGUGAGCGCAGGAGCUUUGCAGAUUUUGCUUUUCAUUGUCAUAAACUGUUUUUUUUCUAAUUAGCUCAGCACAAAGCCAGACAAUAUUUCAGAACAUGAAAAAAUAGACUUUUGACUUAACAACAAGCAGUUUCCAGUUGGUCGGGCUGCACAUCUUUGGGCUGAUUAAAUAAAAAUAAAACUAAUCAGUGAGUACAGAUUGAGGUUAAAUGGAAGCAGAGGGUUUGGUGUUGCGACAUGUCAGCCAUCUCCAGGCCUCCGUAAACACAAAAUUCGCACCACCUGAGAUUCUAAAUGCGGACUGAAAACAGGUCAGCCGUACACAAACACACACACCGAGCCGGACUUCCAUUUCCUCGCGUCACACGCUGACUCAGACUGUUCUCAUGGCUCAGAUUGUCAGAUUGUCCCCUGCAUUUUUGUGGUGGUGGAAAUGACGCAAUGCUGGAGCUGCAGUGGGUCUUCUGUUUGGAAAUUUGCUAAAACACAACCUGGUUCACACUGAAAGGCUGUUUGUGCCAGAUGCAGGACCAUUGUAAAGUUGUUUUUGUUAUUUUAUGCACAUAUACAGAGCGCAGAGUAUUAUCGGCAUUUGUACUCACACUAGUAAUGCAAACGUUGAUAUUUAACAGGCAGGUAAAUGCAAUUUUAUUGAUACAGCACCUUUUAAAUGGUAGGUUACAAUGUGUGUACAGGAAAUAAUGAUUAUAAAUGAAGAACAGAAGAGUAAAAAUGGCAUUACAGCAAAGAAAAAUAGAAAUAGUUUGGCUCAGGAAAAAAAAUAAUGUACGUGUAACUGCCACAUUUUCAUUUCCCUGUAUUUUCUGUGUAUUUUGAUGUUAUGGUUUAAUGCCACUAGAAGGCGCUGUGGCGCGAGAGUAAGCCUUUGUAUGCUGAGUAUGGUUAAUUUCACGUGAAGAAGCGAUCUCAGACAGAGAGAAGAAGAAGCGAUCUGAGAGAGAGAAUUAAGUAUGAGAAAAACUAAGACAAAAGGUUAAAAGUUGAAGAAGAUUUAAGAUAAACAAGAAGAAAGAAGAAAACCCAAGCUAAUUCCUCUGUCGGUACUCAGUCAACGAGGUUUUCUCCAGGUGAUCUGACUGCCACCGACAGUCCAAAGACAUGCAUGGAGUCUAGCUUGGCCACAUGAGUGACUUUGUCUAUUAUCAGCUUCAGUAGACUCAAGCUCCUCAUGGCCCUCUACAGGAUAGAGCAGGGACACCAGUGCUACAUAAUUUUGCCUUGGAGCUAGAAGAUCCUCGGUUCAUGUCCCGGCCUUCCCAGGAUCUUUCUGCAUGGAGUUUGCACGUUCUCCCUGUGCAUGCAUGGCUUUUCUCCAGGCUUUGAAAUGUACAACACUGCAAACAGAAACGUAUUAAAGUCUGAGACGGCAGAGCGGGAUAACUUCUGCAGAUGCUAUCUUCAGGAACGCCAGCCUCAUUUAUCUGUCAUCCUCCUGGGGGUUCGGGGAGCGUCUUUAUCAGGGUUCCGCAGAAAGGAAUUCGCAAAGACUGCAGAUGAAAUAUGGACGGGUUGGUUUCAGCAGAAUCACUACUGGCAGCCCUGAGAGGAGGAGAUAAUUACCACUUUGACAAGCUUUGAUCACAGAUGUAGAGAAAGGCGAUCCGAUGCGAUGGCUACCGUAACGUCUUUGGGUUGGGAGAGGAGAAAUGUCAUGGGAUUCAUUUAUGCUUCACCUCCUCCUGUAUCCUGCUCAUCAGCCCGCCGCUGAUGUCGUUCUCCUGAAGGCUCAGGUGCCUCAGUGGAAACUGCGUCCUGCACAGCAGAGCGCCCAUGAUGUCAU